UUUUUUUUUUCUACUUAUUCUCUUUAAGUUUAACUGCCAUGUUAAUCAGUCAGCAUGCGUCACUGUGCACCCUUGUUUCUGCGGCGCCAAAAUUCAAUUAGUCAGUCAUUUAUUUCUCAACCUUCCCUUCCCGUUCCUUCCUUCCUUCCAUCACCACUCUCCCACUCUCGUUCGCUUCUUCUGUCAUCAUUUUUCAUCCCUCUUCUCUCUCUCUUUCUCCCUCACCCUCUCCCUCCUUUCUCCUUAGAUGUAAGGCCCUGGCGAUAAUGGUUGUGGUGGUGGCGGCCAUAGCCAACGUUCACGUGGUACAAUUAUCUCCACGUGGCACAACAGAUGUCAAUUAUGGAAUCGGAAGAAGAGGGCGAGGUAAGUCUGUCUCUUCUCUCUCUCUCUCUCUCUCUCUCUCUCUCUCUCUCUCUCUCUCUCUCUCUCUCUCUCUCUCUCUCUCUCUCUCUCUGCAGGUUUAACUUUUUGAAAUUAAAUUUGUAACUGCA